ensembl:snoRNA SNORA70 Small nucleolar RNA SNORA70
CUGCAGCAAAGUACGCUGAGAAGUUCCUUCCUCCUGGUGUGUGGUGUCUGCAGACAGCAGCCUGGUUGGGAGUGUACACAGCCUGUUGCCUAUGGGGUUGCCCUAAGGGACCUUAAAGACAGUU